rnacentral:rRNA from 1 species
AUUCCAGCUCCAAUAGCGUAUAUUAAAGUUGUUGCAGUUAAAACGCUCGUAGUUGAAAUUGUGGCAAUAAUAUUUGGUCAUCUUUAACGAGCAUGCACCUAUUGUUAUUACCAUUAUUCCAGUAUAUGCAGGGUAACCUGUGUAUUUGGAACUGUUACUUUGAGAAAAUUAGGGUGUUUCAAGUAGGCGUAAUGCUUUGAAUACUCCAGCAUGGAAUGACAAUAAAGGACUUAAAUCCUUCUUGUUGGUUUAAGGAGUUGAGUAAUAAUUAAGAGGAACAGUUGGGGGUAUUCGUAUUCAGUCGCUAGAGGUGAAAUUCUUAGAUUGACUGAAGAUGAACUAUUGCGGAGGCAUCUACCAUGGAUGUUUUCAUCG